GUGCACAGUGAACACCCAGGGAUGCUGAUGUGGCUCCCCCUGGUCACUUGUAUCUGUGCUACAUCAAAUCUGAUCUGUACCUCUGCAUUAGGAGAGCCUGUUCCUCUCCUACAUGUAUUCAGCGGAUCAGAAUAAAC
rnacentral:snoRNA from 1 species